GCCAGUCUUGGCGGAAGCCUGAGACGCAAUAGAUGGAGACUCUCCUUUUCGCCUUGGCGUACUCUUUUUUUUUUUUUCCUCCCUGGAGCUGGUCUUGUGGGGCAGCCCUAAAAUGUAUCUCCAAGUGACCCUGCACUCAUCACUUGCUGCCUUGGACUUAGUUUCCUCAUUCGUAGAAUGGAGACACCACACUUUCUGAAGUGCUUAUGAGACUUGCAGGAGGCCUAGGACCUAGGAGCACAUGAUGGGACGCGGUCAACAAAACAUUCAGAAUGAGCAAAUCAAUAUGGAACGUGUUGUCUGGCUUUUCUUGGCAGCAUGGGUUCUUUGAAGAGUUUUAAAGAGAAUUCACAAUUACUGAAUAUUACAUAAUUUGAAGAUGAGUAAACUGCUUUCAUCACUGCUCUGGCAAUAAAAUCUGGAAAUCUGGAGAACUCUAGCUUCUAAAAACUAUCUUAUGAUCCAAUUCAGAAUGUGUAGUUCUGCACACAUCGUACAUUUCUUUUUCCUAAGCCAAAUGAUCAUCAAUUCAUCUAAAACCAUUGUCAGGAGGCCCUAUGCUAUGCAAGACUAAUUGUGAGUGUGACUGUAUGCAAAAACAAACAAACAAACAAGGGAAAAAAAGCUUGUUAAAAAGGGAAUUCUUUACUCAAGAGGCAGGAAAAAAAUACCUCCUGACUAGGGAAAGCACAUAUUGAUAGUUCCAGCAGCAACAAACCUGGAGAUCUCUGUCAUUUCUGUUCAAGUGCAUGAAAAGCAAGGCAGCAAAAGCUGUUGGUGCUGUGAGCAUAGAAGGCUAAGGACAUACUUCCCAGCAACUUGCUCGGACUGGACGGUGACUGGAGCUGAUUCCUGAGAUGGGAGUGUGAGCUUGGCAGGCUUUGACAUGGAGCCAGGCCAAAGUGGGAGGCCAAAUUUACAGUGUCAAAUAAACCAUGACUUAGGCGA
rnacentral:lncRNA from 1 species